rnacentral:tRNA from 1 species
GCCGGCGUGGCGAAAUGGCAGACGCGCUAGACUCAAAAUCUUGUUCCCGCAAGGGAGUGGGGGUUCAAGUCCCUCCGCCGGCACCA